CUGAGACCUUCCUGCCCCUUGACUAUUUAGAGGUACAGGUCAUGCGUUACCACGGUCACUGGGCUUCUCUCGGUGUCUUUGGCAUGGUCAGUGAGCAUGCGCCACCUUCACGGACCUGGCUCUGAGACCCACCCGUCGAGAAGCCGCGGCGAGCUGCGGGGUGCUAAGCUGCGGUGAUUGAUGUGAUCCGUUACGAGCCGCCGCACAUCAAGAAGGCUCUGCAGUACACCUGUGGCAACGCGCUGGUGUGUGAGAAUGUGGAGGAUGCACGCAGGAUUGCGUUUAGAGGGCCCUACAGACACAAGACUGUAGCCCUGGAUGGCACGCUCUUUCAGAAGUCCGGUGUGAUAUCUGGUGUAGCCAAUGACCUGAAGGCCAAGGCCUGGCGCUGAGAUGAGAAGGCGGUCGACAAACUCAAAGACAAAAAAGAGAAGCUGACCGAGGAGCUCAAGGUAGAAAAAUAAAACUGAGCAAGGAGCAAAUGAAGGCAAAGAGGAAAGAUGAGCUGAGGCAGGUGCAGUCGCAGGCACACGGCUUACAGAUGAGGCUGAAAUACUCCCAGAGUGACUUGGAACCUCACACACACACACACACACGUUCUCUCCCACACACGGCUUACAGAUGAGGCUGAAAUACUCCCAGAGUGACUUGGAACCUCACACACACACACACACACGUUCUCUCCCAC
ensembl:lncRNA